rnacentral:rRNA from 1 species
GACGAACGCUGGCGGCGUGCUUAAUACAUGCAAGUCGAACGAAGGGGCGAACGGGUGAGUAAUACGGGGGUAACCUGCCCUCCUUUUUGGGAUAAGCCUUGGAAACGGGGGCUAAUACCGAAUACAGGGGGAUGGGCUCGCGGCCUAUCGGCGUGUUGUUGGGGGGAUGGCCUACCAAGGCGGUGACGGGUAGCCGGUCUGAGAGGGUGACCGGCCACAUUGGGACUGCGAUAAGGCCCAGGCUCCUACGGGGGGCGGCAGUGGGGGAUAUUGCAGAAUGGGCGAAAGCCGGAUGCAGCGAAGCCGCGUGGGGGUUGAAUGCUUUCGGGUUGUAAACCUAUUUCGCUAUCGAAACGGUAGGUGGAGAAGAAGCGCCGGCUAACUACGUGCCAGCAGCCGCGGUAAUAC